rnacentral:lncRNA from 1 species
AGUCUGAUGUUUAUAGCUUUGGAGUACUACUCCUAGAGAUUGUGAGUGGCCGAAGGAAUACUAGCUUCCGUCAAACAGAACGCAUGAUCCUCAUUGCUUAUGUAAGUACAUGCAAAAUGUCACCAAUUUAGGCUCUGGUUUGAGAUACAACACAACGUUUUUUACUGCUAUUUUUUCACUCACCUGAUCCAAUUUCCGACUGAUUGCAGGCAUGGGAUCUUUGGAAUGAAGGUAAGACAAUGGAGAUAGUUGAUCCUUCCAUCCGAGAUUCAUGUGAUGAAAACGAAGUGCUGAGAUGCAUACAAAUCGGCAUGUUGUGUGUGCAAGAUUCUGCACUUCAUAGACCAAGCAUGGCAUCAGUUGUGGUAAUGCUGGAGAGCUGCACAACAAACAUUCCAUUGCCUAGACAACCAAAUUUCACUUCUGUCAGGGCCUCUAUAGACCCUGAAAUUUCUCUGGAAGUGCAUGAAGUAGCAUUGUCAAGCUAAUAACACUCACAAAACACACUUCGACGUAGCAUAUCAUUGCUGUAAUUUUCUGGUACAAAACUCACACAAGGAAGGGCUUACAAUGGAGGAAGACACACACAAACUGCUGCUGUUUCUUCUUCUCUGUUACUUCCCCGGUUUCUGCUCACUUUCGACUGCUACCCACUGCCCUUCUCUCAAUAAUUUCAGCUCCAUGUAACCUACCACUUGGAAAAAAUAAUACACUUAACACACAUUCAACUCUAGCUAACAUUAAGCUAACUCUAGCCAACUAGCCUUACAGCACAGUAACAUUAACAGUUGGUCCUGUCGGAAAAAAAGAGAUGAUAUUUGUAUAGGUAUUUUGUCAAUCAAUUUCUUACAUAAACAAAAACAAUUUUUUGUGGUCUAUAAAUUGAUCCUAUUGUUUGUUUUAAUUUAACCUUUUAAUGUGCUCUAAGGAGAAAAUUCAGCGUUAACCAUUGAGGUAGUGGAUUGAGAGCAGACUCAUCACAGGUUUAGGCCAAGAGCUCUUUCACAAGCAGAAACUGUUCCCAAUCAUCUGUGCAAACCAGCCACCAUUGUUUACCACAAUUUAAUUGUAAAAUGAGACUUCAAUGCUUGUUGCAAGCUAAGGAAGAAAUGUAAUGUGGAUGUACCAUGAGUGACACAUGCUUAAAAACUGCAUAUCCUGUCGAUAAUCACCACCUGUAAGUAUAAAACGAUUACUAUUAUAAGUUGAUAAGUGUCACGACCCGAAUCCCGGAUCCAUGACCGACACAUAGGCAAGGUUCCCCUCAAAGGUUCCAUACCUAUGCGAACCCAAACUUACACACAAACUUAUCCUAACUCAAUCAGAGUUCAACGCAGCAUUAAUAACAAAAUCAACUUCAUAAUAUAAUUGAAUUGUCUUAAUACAAGAGUUAAUAUAAUGCAGAGUUUUGGAGCACUAACUUGACAUUAAAGGAAGGUACAAAUUACAACCAAAAAGCAGGUUCGGAAGGUUCAACAAAAUGACCUGCUAUCAAGCUAUAAGCCUGAAAAGGAUAAAUAAUGAGAUGGUGAGUUCAACAACUCAGUGAGUAGAUAACGUUCAAUAUACACACACGAGGUAAUAAAACAAUGAGAAAUAUAUAUACAAGUAUGGCUUUAGGUUCUUAUGGAAAUGUUUCUCAAAUUGACCAUAACAAGAAUGUCAUAUGGUAAAACUCGUCAGAAAAUCAAAUGCAAUGAGCAUGAGGCUCCGUACUGUGGGAUGAUCAGUCCACACAGGUUGGUGACUCCCUCGACCAACUAGGGUUCAGAUACAAUGUGCACAAAGACUAACACUACCCUGUUAGCAUGGGUAUUCUGACUGACAUACCAUAGGUUCAUAAUCAUAAUCUAACAAACAUAUUCAUAUCUCAAAGCUCAACUCAUGACAUCAAUAAAAUGAAGAGCUAUCAAUUCAGAGGUCAAUUCAAAAUAUAUGUUGGUUCAUAUCAAGAAUUCAGAUUCAAUAAUUGAUCAUGCUUUAUCAUAACAAGGAUAAUAAUCAACAUAUAUAUUAUUAAGAAGCAUGAUUCAAUUCAUAUUAACAAAUCAAAUAUUUAUACUAUUUCUCAUGCAUAUGGAAAAUUAUCCACUCAUCUGACUCGAAAGCAACAAAACUCAAAGCUGAUAUCGAAGGAAAUCCUACUGACGUCCCGCCGGUAGAAUAUCAGGAUUAUCUGAAUACAAAUGAGACAUGUUCAAGAAUGACUCAAAAAAACAUAUAACCUAUUUAAUACACUUAUCUAAGGGUGUAUUCCAUAACCCUAUAUGUUUUUGAACUAACUAGUCAAUUUUCUCAAAAACCCAAAAUUUAACGGUUUUCCCGAAAUCUAAUCCAUAAUAAAACAACUAAUAAAAUUGAUAAUAAUUCACUAAAUAACCCUCAAUUAUUCAUCAAAUCAAUCUGCAAAAAUUAAUAUUACAGCUAGGGACUAAUCUGUAAUUUAUCCUAUUUUUAAGGGUCAAAUUGCAACUUUUGUCAAAUUGAAGGACCAAACUGAAAUUUGUCAUAAAUCCAUUACUAUACUGAAUUUCUGACCAUAAUUAGUCCUCAUUUCUGUCCAGAUCAUCUCAUUAUACUCCAAGGACCAUUCUGGAAUUUUACCAAAUUUUUAGGGUCAAAUUGUAAUUUUUGUCAAAUUGGAGGACUAAAUUGAAAGUGUUAAAAUUUCAUAACUAUACUAGAAUUCUGCCCUUAAUUCAUAUAUUAUUCUGUUCAGAAUCUCGGAAUAGGCUCCAGGGACCAAUCUGUAAAUUUUCCAAAGUUUGGGGACUAAAAUGUAAUUUUCCAAAAUUGAGGGACCAAACCGAAAUUGUCAUCUUCAACCUCAAACCCAGAAUUCUCACAGAUUACCUACUGUUCUUGCCAAAUUUCUAACUCAACAUUCACCAUUUACACAAUUCAUAACUCAAAAUCAUCACAAUCUUCCAUAAUCAACUCAUUAAUCAAUUACCCAUAACAAUCAACCUUAUAACAUUCAAUUUAAUUCAUCAAUUAACCCAAAACACAAAUUUUCAAAACCCUAACAUUCAUCAAAACUGAAAUUAAAGCUUAAUUAACACAUAUUUAUACAUAAUCUUACCUUUAAACUUAUUUUCUUCAACUCCUUUCUAUUUCCCUUCUAAUUUCCCUCUUUUCUCUUCUUCUUCUUCUUUCUCCCUUCUCUCUCACGGUUUGCUCUCUCAAAUAUUCAGAUCUCCUUUUUUUUUUCUUCUUUCUAUUUAUAUUUAUCAUCUCUUUAUUCAAUUACUACUAUACCCCUCAUUCAUUUAUUCCAAC